rnacentral:tRNA from 1 species
GGUCUGUAGCUCAGUUGGUUAGAGCACACGCUUGAUAAGCUGAUCACAGUAAAGAAGCAAGUCUUGUCAGAGCGCCACCA